CCCAGUGAAGGUGACGUGUCAGGAGGUGAGGCUGCUGGGAGGUGGUGCGUGCCCUCUGAAGUGGGUUAGAGCCUCCUGUGAGACCCUGGAGAAAAGGUGCCAUCUAGGAGAAGGGUCCCUAACCUGACACUGUCUCCAAGAGCCUGGAUCCUGGACUCCCAGCCUCCAAAGCUCCGAGGAGUGAGACCCUGCUGACUCUGUACUCAGUGGAGCAAGACUGUUCAUCCUUCCAGGAGGUCACCUGAAGCUCAGCCAGGAUGGCAUGCUCUGCCCUGCAAACUCCGCAGAAGGAGCCCAUCUCUGGCCCCGCUCCUGUGACUAUGAGGAGUCUCCGCUGCCAGGCUUCCACCCUAAAAAGCAGCAUUGAUGACACAGACACCCACCGGGGACCCUGGAACCAGGAGGGCAGAGGCUGCUGAGCCAACUGUGUCACUGGGGCCCUGAAUGUGUGGGGUUGAGCUUGACAGGCCAGGUCCCCACGCACGUAAUGAGAUGGUAGGAGAGCUGAGGAGUGGCGCACCCCCUCCCAGCAGGGAAGACACAGCCUGAACCCCGAGAUGCAGACAGGGAGGGGCCGCCUAGGGGAGGCCACGGCCCAGUGGGUUUCCUGCGAUGGUGCCCUUCUCCUGUCCUUCAUUCAGACUGCACACGUUAUCUUACUGUAAUAAAUACAUCCUGUCUGGCAACACAACCUGGAUUACCUACUGAAGAAGCCAAUGAAAAAUGGCCAGGAUCUUUCUAGGGUUUCCCCUUCUGCAUAGCACAAGAUUCAUCAGCCCCUCUCACGACUGUGUGGCCAAAGGCAAGUCCGACUGCACUGGUGUGAACCCUGCAGGCCAGGUGCCCGUGGGGACACGAGAGAAGCAGUGCCCAGGGGUGUGGGCAGGAGCCACCAAGCACAGUGCUCUGGGGAUGGGCGCACACAGGGAGAAGACAC
rnacentral:lncRNA from 1 species